AGCGAACGCUGGCGGCAGGCCUAACACAUGCAAGUCUAACGAACUCUUCGGAGUUAGUGGCGGACGGGUGAGUAACACGUGGGAACGUGCCUUUUGGUUCGGAAUAACUCAGGGAAACUUGUGCUAAUACCGAAUGUGCCCUUCGGGGGAAAGAUUUAUCGCCAUUAGAGCGGCCCGCGUCUGAUUAGCUAGUUGGUGAGGUAACGGCUCACCAAGGCGACGAUCAGUAGCUGGUCUGAGAGGAUGACCAGCCACACUGGGACUGAGACACGGCCCAGACUCCUACGGGAGGCAGCAGUGGGGAAUCUUGCGCAAUGGGCGAAAGCCUGACGCAGCCAUGCCGCGUGAAUGAUGAAGGUCUUAGGAUUGUAAAAUUCUUUCACCGGGGACGAUAAUGACGGUACCCGGAGAAGAAGCCCCGGCUAACUUCGUG
rnacentral:rRNA from 1 species